GUAAUAUCUUCUGCAAUAUUUUCAAAUCUUUUUAAAGGCUCUCUUGAAAAACUGUAAUAAUC
rnacentral:snRNA from 1 species